UCGGAAAUUUUGGGCAAUGGGCGAAAGCCUGACCCAGCAACGCCGCGUGAAGGAUGAAGUAUUUCGGUAUGUAAACUUCGAAAGAAUAGGAAGAAUAAAUGACGGUACUAUUUAUAAGGUCCGGCUAAUUACGUGCCAGCAGCCGCGGUAAUACGUAGGGACCAAGCGUUGUUCGGAUUUACUGGGCGUAAAGGGCGCGUAGGCGGCAAUUCAAGUCAUCUGUGAAAUCUCCGGGCUUAACUCGGAACGGUCAGAUGAUACUGCUUUGCUAGAGUGCAGAAGGGGCAAUCGGAAUUCUUGGUGUAGCGGUGAAAUGCGUAGAUAUCAAGAGGAACACCUGAGGUGAAGACGGGUUGCUGGGCUGACACUGACGCUGAGGCGCGAAAGCCAGGGGAGCAAACGGGGAUUAGAUACCCACGUAGUCCCUGAGCGGGCUGGCAAGGCGCAU
rnacentral:rRNA from 1 species